rnacentral:lncRNA from 1 species
CCCAAUCUUCAUCUGGAGCUUUGACAAUAGAUGCAGAUGCUGCCCCGAUCUCUGUUGCACCAUCAGUGGCCAAAAAUCAAUAUCGAUAAUUUACCGAAGUGGCUAGCCACCUUCAAAGGAGGUGUUUGUGCGCUCGAGACAAACUUCUUCAUCAGCACCUACUCCAAUAUCAGCAAAGUCAACUCAAUCGAUAAAACAACAUCCGAGGUCCC